GUCCGUGACUGAAACCUCCCCGCCCCCGCCGCCUCCUCCCCCCGCGCCGGGGGAACCUCGCACACAUGUGACCCGGGAAACCAUGACAACCUCCCGCCGGGGACUGCGGCCCGCAGCGCGCCCCCCCACCCCGCACUGCCGGGAGGAGCGGGCGGGCGGCGGGAUGCGGCGCUCCUCUCAGGCUCCGGCCCCGCCGAGGGGGUUCCGCCGUCCCUGCGGUAUUUCACCGCUCAUUGCCGUUGUGCUUUUUUUUGUGGGCCACGGACGACCAUAAAGAGAUCCCCGCAUCGCUCGUAUGCGUAGAUACGCCAUACGUUCAUAGUCACAUAACGUAGGAAGCGCAGUGUCAGAAAACGCCUCCGGUCAUCUGGCUGCCUCGAGGUCCACGAUCACCACAUCUAGAGAAAGAAACAAUUGGAAAAGACAAAAGUUCCCUUUCAGCGCUGCCUCCCUGCCCGCGCUGCGGGGUCCGCCCGGUGCGGUGAGCAGGUGCUGCCGUCGCUGCCGUGCGCUCAGGGCUGCAGGCAGUGCCCGCGGGCCCGCUUUGUCACGGAGCUCUGCGGAAUGCUGCUCGGAAGUGGAGUCCUGGGAAGGCAUGAAAACCGGUUUGUAGUCGCCUCAGCGUGUGGGGAUGACAGCAGCAUGGAAUCAUUAAGGUUGGAAAGACCACUACAGUCAUCUAGUCCAACCGUCAGCCCAUCCCCACCAUCCCGCUAACCCAUGUCCCUCAGUGCCACAUCUCCAUGUUUCUUGAGCACCUGCAGGGGCAGUGACUCCGUCACCUCCCUGGGCAGCCUGUGCCAGCGCCUCACCACUCUUGCUGAGAAGAAAUUGUUCCUAAUAUCCAACCUGAACCUCCCCUGGUGCGAUUUGUGGCUAUUUUCUCUCACCCUAUCACUGUUACCUGGGAGCAGAGACCAACUCCCACCUCGUCACAACCUCCUUUCUGGCAGUGUAGAGAACAAUAAGGUCUUUCCUGAGCCUCCUCUUCUCCAGACCAUCGCAGUUCCCUCAGCCGCUCCCCAUCAGACGUGUGUUCCAUAUCCUUCACAGCUUUGUUGCACUUCUCUGGACACGCUCCAUGGCCUCGAUGUCCCUCUUGUAGUGAGGGGCCCACAGCUGAGCACAGAAAUUUCUGUCAGCCCUGGGUUUGUGCACAAAAUGAAUCAAUGGCCCAAAGGUCCAAGCUCAGGACCACUCUGCUGUUUGGAAAUUGCUUUUACUGGACACUCGCCAUUAUUUCAGCUGCCCUGAAAUGUACUUCAAAGAGACUUGGUGAGAAAAAUAGUCAAAAAUCAAGUUUGUCUCAGCAAGGAGAUAAUGAAUGUAUCUUGAUGACGAUGUGGCUUCAGCAAGUAACAAGAAGAAAAUGUAGCAAUCUCUGUGGUGCUUUUUUUCAUUCAAGCUAUGACCUCAAAGCCAUUUUUAAUUGGAUGCAUUUCCAAAUGAAGCCACUGCUCCCUGUAGAAGCAUUUUUCCAGUUGCACCUGGUUCACAAAUUGGACAUUAUGAACUUGGCAAACCCGUACAGUGAGUGAUCUGUGUUUAGGGGUGAUACCUCUGCUCUACAGCAGGUGAAAGACACCUCUACCAACAGAGUAUAGGACACUGUUCAGCAGUGUCUUGUGGCUUGCUUUCUCUCUGUGGGAAAAGCCAGUAUGGAGCACUGAUGAACAAAAUGAAGUUCACGGCUAUUUAGCACUGCCCAGCAUGAGAGAUAUCUCCAUAACCACACUAAGUCCUGAAGACAGGCCAUGAGCACACCCUACACUGCAGAAGGCUGCUCCUUCAGCAGGCACUGGGAACGCUGCAGCUUUCUUCUGGUGGCCAGGAGCCCUGGUUUCAGCCAAAGCACAGUGCCAACAUCACAUCAAUGCUGUGGUUGCUGCUGAGCAAUGGGAGCUUCCUGGGGCCCUUUAUGCGUGUCAGCAGGAGGUGGACAGAGCCCAGACAGAUCUACAGCCAACUUGAAUUGAGUGGACACACCAGGCUGUGUGACUGGCAGCUUUGUGCAUUAGUGGGCAUCAGACCUGAGUUCAGCUAUUGCCGAGUCUGUGAGGGAAGGUGUGUGGCUGGAAUUGGAAACACUGGAUUUGAGAGAAGAACCUUAAUUCAAACCAGCAGGCUUUAAAGGACAAAUGUGGACAGUUCAGAGCUGUGUGCUAGAGAGCCAAGUCUUCAGUUUGUCUCAGAAUGGUUUGUUUAUAAGAACUGGCAAAUGUGCUUUUGAUUAAAGACAAACAUCCAAAUGCACUGACUUCUACAGAUUCUGGAACAGAAGGACUCUCACUCUCAUUUAUGCGUGCACACAUAAAUAUAUGUCUAUAUCUGAUAUUACUGUUUUUAUUUUGGUAGAACCUAGAGACCCCAUCACAUUAAUCAUUCUACAGAUGCAAUGUAAGUAUCUUAACAUAGUUGGCUUUCGGUAAGGUAAGACUUGCUAGUUAGUGUGGGUUUAUGGAUCUUAUUAUUCCAUCUUAAGGAUGAGAUUAUUUUUUAUAUUUUUAUCUUGAAAGAGAAAUAUUUACAUUUUUAAGUAAAAUCUGUAACUGUACCACCCUUUCAAUAUUCCAACUUUAGCCCCAAGAGUAGAAGACAGUGCCAGACAUGCAUUCCCUUGUGUUUUUUAUCGUUGAUUUUGGUAUGCUCUAUUUUUAUUCAAUUCUAUGGGAAAUGCAUACACUUUGUGCAGUUGCCAGAAUGCGAUUCCCCAAUGCCCUCUCUUUAUUUCCAAGUGUUCUUUUUUCAGAUUCAAGUCCUCUUGCGACAGCACUUUCUCUUGUUUGAUCAAGUAAUCCUUGCUCAUACUGAACCCAUUUGCUGAGGACAACACUUAUGUACGCGGAGCUGAAAGGGCAGACAUCUGAGUUAAGGAAAGUCUCCCACCCUGACAGUAAUGGUUGGUUUUACUUCCUUUUUCAGGGUCUGCCAUUAUUUGUGCUCACUGCACCUAAGGGCAGUAUGCGCACAGCUCUGUCGGCAACCAACAGGGCAGAAUCCUCGCUUUGUUCAAAUUCAGCUGAGUGUAGCAGAGCCAGGCUGUUGUUGGGGUGAUGGUCACGUUCUGUUGAAAUCCCCCUCUCCCAGCCUAUGUUGCAGCACUGUCUGGAGGCUGCCCAAGUUUUGGCAGAUUAAUCUGUAGGCACCAUCCAUGUUCUGGGGCUAGUCAGAACACGUCAGGCUUCAGACUGAUUUACACGGUUGCAGUUGCAUAAGGAGCUAUAGAGAAGCUAGAGCUGAUAAUGUGUUUGUAGAACAAGAGAGCAGAUUCAGCUGUGUAACCCCAAAAGGGCAAUGUACUGAAUUAAGGACAUAGUCCUGAGUCAAUGUAUCCACUCACCUUUUCAUGGUGCUUUUCAGGUCAGCAUCGCUUUCUGCCCUCAAAUCACAUCCAUUUGAUGACUUUUUCCUCCUUUACAUUAUGGGUUUAUUUGUGCAUUAAAAUCAGUCUGGCAGUGCCCUUACAGCCAUAAAAUCCACGCUGCUAUAUCAUUACCAUAAAACCUAGAGAAGGUCUCUUGUGUUUGAAAAGAGUUGCAGUCCCAACUCAGUCCUUUACAAAGUGCCCUAGGCAUGUACUGAUGGCAAAGAAAUAGGGCACCACUGGAGAUGACAUCUCCAAUGUCCACCUGCACUGUGCCUUGUAAAAGUACUGACUCACUUGCACCCUCACACCCUGCAUAAAUGUCCUUCUCUUUUCUCUCAGAAUUACCCAGCAGAGCCUUCAAGCAAAUAGGAAAAGGAAGAAAUGUGGUCUCAAGGACAGAUAGGUAGGUUGGUAGUCUUUCGUAUUUCUUCGUCCUGCCUUGAGUUAUACCUCAUAGCUCAGGUGUGUGCUUGUUCCCAGAGGUUUGAUCUACAUGGCUGCUUGAAGAGAGGGUUAUACACACUUCCCCAUAACACAUAUAGCAAGGAUCUAGGUUCAGGGUGCACCCCUUGCCCUGUGGAUUUCUCCAUCUGCUGUCUAGAUAAUGUAAGAGCAUCUUUGUCCAUUGGGGACUUGGACCAGAAACAUCUGGGUUUAGCAGGAAGAGAAACUCAUGAAGAAAGGAGAAGAAAUAUUUUGAAGCCUGGCAGCAGCGUGGAGAUGGAUCUCCAUGAACUGAAGCAGAAGUGGAGACUGAAACUGGCAAUUCUGAGAGGAGUCUUCCAGGCCAGGACCUUCCACAGAGUUUAUGGUGCCAGAAGUACCUGUCCCUGAAAGCCAAUUUUUCCCACCAAGGAAAGGUAUGGUCCUGUCCUUCCAGGUCAGCCUCCAAAAUAGAUGUUUUCAGAAAAGGUCUAUCAGGUCUUUUGGCUGAGGGAAACCUACAUCAGCGUUUCACUGCAGAGGGCUUCCUUUCUCCCAGAAGAACAAAAAGAAAGAAAAAACAAUGUAUCCAAGAGCCUCAAGGGCCUGUAGGCUCAUCCCUGGUAACAUCUCUGGCCUGUCAGAUAUUUCUAAGCUGUGGGCUCUGAAUGCCUCAAAUGUUGGUAUCCAUGAAAGCCCUGGCUUUCAGAAUGAGAUAAGACUUUUCUCACAGGAUUUACAGACCACAGUGAGCAACCUUCUAAUGCAUCCUAGAACCUCUGAGUGGGAAAUGGGUCUUGGCAGACAGCACAGCUUCCAAAGUCCUUGUGACUUCUGAAAACCAUGUCACCUGCUCCAGCUAUGUGCAGUUUUCUGGGAGAUCCAAAUCUUUCCUUGUAGCACCACUCUGAAGGGUCCUAGGAGAAGUCACUGGGGUGGAAACAAUCACAGAGACUGCAAAACAUAGCCUGGUUUCCUGAAUAGGAAGAAGAUGAUGAAGUAAGUAGAUAUCUUGUUUUACCACCAUUCGUUUGCCAGAUAGUCCUGUGGGAGCUGGCAGAAAAGUCCAACUAGUCUCAUCCUUAUUAUAGAAGGGGGAUAAUGACUGCUGAGAGGACAGAAGGAUUCUCAGUGUGUGAUCGGUGCCCAUACUGCUGCCUUGGCCAGCUUACAGUAUGAUACUCACCAGGCUGAGACUUUUUUCCUUAAUCCAAAAAGUGCUAGCCUAGUUCUGUUGGGAACAUGGGAAUCAGCAUUGCAUGGCUUGAGGUAUGGAAGGAACUGGGAUCACACUGUUCUCCUCACCUGUCCUAGGUCCCAGUCAGACACAUCUGUGGAUCUGGUUUGUGCAACCGAAGGGAGACUGCUUUCUGUGAGUCUCUACUUCUUUCCCCUCUCUCUUAUCCUUCCAAGAUGAAGAGGAAUAGCUAUUAUCUUAAAAUAUCUAUUACUUAGUAAAGAUUAAACAUUAUUUCAUGUUUAAACAUGAGAAGUAUUUAAUAUUUUAAGAUUUAAAACAAAUUAACAUUUACAAAUUAUUCUGUUAUAUAAGCAAAUCCUUGUUUAGAAGGAUAAUGUUUUGAAAAAAGCUUCUACAAAAAAAAACUUGACGUAUUUUAAUUGAUGGCUUUCAUUUUCUAUUUUGUGUCUCAACCAUUGGCAUACCUCAGUUUAGAUGUCAACAUUUUUAUGCCUGGAAGCUGGGGAAUAAAAAUAGUUACACUCUAAAAAGAGGCAGUUCUGAGGGUGAGAGGUCCUGAUCUUGCAAGCUCUUGCUCAAAUGGAAACUCAAUGGGACUACUAAGGGUGAGGAGGAAUUACUCACCCAGCAGACAUUACAAAAUGAGGCUGAGCUCCUCUACUAAAAUGGUAAUAGCUUAAACAUGGAAAAUCUUAUUCAUUCUGCUGAAAUGGGAGGGUGUAAAUAUCUGAGUUUUUUGAAGAAGUGGCCACAGCUGAAAGGCAGCAGAUAUCUGUUUUGAAAGCAGAUGAAAACCUCCUGCUAGGUGGUUACGCUGCAGUGUUGUCUUAACGUUCAUUGUGUGGUUUGAUUAUUUUGUUUUUCUUGAGUUUUUAUAUUUAAUAUAGAUGAGCUACAGUGAUUUCAGGAUGGUUUGGAAGCCAAGUAUGUAUUCGUGUGAAUAUUAACAAUGCCUUGGGCUACAAAGAAAGCUUGAAAACUUUGUAGUAACUUAAAUAAAAAUCAGUGCAUGUUUGGAAUUACUUAAUUACGUGCCCUUAAAAACAGUUUUCUUGGUACAAUUAAUUGGAUGACCUUACUCUCGAAAAAAUGUGCUACAUGACAGAAAUGUACUAUAUGGCAAAAAUAUCUUUAUUUCCAUCACAAAGAAGUCCUGACACGGGACAGAAAACCUAAUUUUAUUCCAAGCAAUCCAGCUGGUACAUAUGAAAUUCAGAAAGAAUGAACACAUCACAACACCCCACACCGACUGUCUGACUCUCGAGAUAAGGAAUUGGCCACCGGGAUAUCAGCUGUUCACAUAGAGCAUCUGAGUUGCCUCCUCCCAGACACCACUCCUAUGAGAACGAUCACCAUGCAGAGAUAUACAGUGAAACUCACCCUCUGCUGAAUGCUUGCUUCAAUCUUGGAUAGCUCCUCUUCGUGUCCUGGAGCACAUGCAGGCCGGAGCCUUGGAGACACAUUCCUCACCAACCACCAUCCUUAUGAUCAGGCUGGA
ensembl:lncRNA